CUGCAUUUUCCUUGACGGAGACGCACAGCUCUGACACUAGACAAUAUUAUACACUCAAAGGGACCGCGUUUCGCCAGAAGAAUAAAUAAUUACAAAUGGUAUUCGUCAGUGAACAUUUUCAAACUGGGAAUAAUAUAUCAUAAGCAGAUUGAAAUGUGUGAACGUUUCAGUGUUUCGAAGACUAAGUUUCGUAGCAGAUUUUGAUUCCGUCACGGGGUUUACUCCGUCGUCAAACCCGUUGCCAUUCAUGGAAUUUACUUCUCAACAAGGAAAGACAAACUUCUUUGAAAGAAGACUAAGUGUACACCAAUUACCUUCAGUUGUACUCUGAAUCAUGUUUGUGAAUAAAAUUAUUUAUCAAAGACUUAUUCAUAAUAUUAUAAGAAAACUUUAUUUUUAAAUUUUAUAAUUGAAGUGAAAAGUAUUAA